CUACGGGAGGCUGCAGUGGGGAAUUUUGGACAAUGGGCGAAAGCCUGAUCCAGCCAUGCCGCGUGCAGGAUGAAGGCCUUCGGGUUGUAAACUGCUUUUGUACGGAACGAAAAGCCUCUUUCUAAUAAAGAGAGGUCAUGACGGUACCGUAAGAAUAAGCACCGGCUAACUACGUGCCAGCAGCCGCGGUAAUACGUAGGGUGCGAGCGUUAAUCGGAAUUACUGGGCGUAAAGCGUGCGCAGGCGGUGAUGUAAGACAGAUGUGAAAUCCCCGGGCUCAACCUGGGAACUGCAUUUGUGACUGCAUCGCUGGAGUGCGGCAGAGGGGGAUGGAAUUCCGCGUGUAGCAGUGAAAUGCGUAGAUAUGCGGAGGAACACCGAUGGCGAAGGCAAUCCCCUGGGCCUGCACUGACGCUCAUGCACGAAAGCGUGGGGAGCAAACAGGAUUAGAUACCCUAGUAGUC
rnacentral:rRNA from 1 species